rnacentral:rRNA from 1 species
UACGAAGGGGGCUAGCGUUUGUUCGGAAUUACUGGGGCGUAAAGCGUGCGCAGGGCGGCUUUCUCAAGUCAGGGGGUGAAAGCCCAGAGCUCAACUCUGGAAUUUGCCUUUUGAGACUGAGUGGCUUUGAGUACGAGAGAGGUGAGUGGAAUUCCCAGUGUAGAGGUGAAAUUCGUAGAUAUUGGGGAAGAACACCGGUGGCGAAGGCGGCUCACUGGCUCGUAACUGACGCUCAUGCACGACAGCGUGGGGGAUCAAACAGG